CAGAUGAAGAUGUAGAACUCUCAGCUCCUCCUGCACCGUGCCUGCCUUGAUGCUGCCAUGAUAAUGGCCUCAACCACUGAACCUGAAGGAAGGAAAGAAGGAACGAAGGAAGGAAGGAAGGAAGAGAGGAAAAGAAAAAUACAAAGAGCCUGGCAAAUCCUCCCUGGGCCAAGUUCAACCAGAAGCAGUUUGAAUUUUGCUGCUUUGUUUUUGUAUAGCCAGAGACUUAAGAAUGUUUUUCUUUUGAGCAUUCUUAAAAGACCGUUAAAAUAAAUAAACUAAAAAGAA